AUGGCUGGCGUCUCCAGCAAUGCCAUUGCCCUUGUGGCACUCCUCUCCGUGCUCUUCACGGGCGUCCGUUCUGCGGUCAACUACGACACCGCCGUCGCUAGAUCCUACAACUCUGGCUGGCUCCCCGCCAAGGCCACCUGGUACGGGGCGCCCAACGGCGCCGGCCCCGACGACAACGGUGGUGCUUGCGGCUUCAAGAACGUGAACCAGUACCCAAUCUCCUCCAUGGGGGCAUGCGGUAACGAGCCUAUUUUCGCCGGCGGCGAGGGCUGUGGCAUGUGCUACGAGAUUAAGUGCGACUACUCCAACAACCCUUCCUGCUCCGGCCAGCCGAGGAGGAUCGUCAUCACCGACAUGAACUACUACCCCGUGGCCAGGUACCACCUCGACCUCAGUGGCACCGCAUUCGGCUCCAUGGCCAGGUACGGCCUCAACGACCGGCUCCGCCACGCCGGCAUCAUCGACAUGCAGUUCAGGAGGGUGCCCUGCAACUUCCCGGGUAUGAAGGUGACCUUCCACGUCCAGCGUGGCUCCAACCCUAACUAUCUCGCGGUGCUCGUGGAGUACGCGAACGUGGACGGGACCGUGGUGCGGAUGGAGCUCAUGCAGACCAUCAACGGCCGCCCAACGGGCUACUAUCAGGAUAUGCGCCGCUCGUGGGGCUCCAUCUGGCGGAUGGACACCAACCGCCCGCUGCAGGGGCCAUUCGCCAUCCGCAUCACCAGCGAUACCGGAAAGACGCUGGUGGCCAACAAUGCCAUCCCGGCUUAUUGGCAGCCGGACCAUGCCUACUGGUCCAACCUCCAGUUCUAUUGA
rnacentral:rRNA from 1 species